CGCGCCGUCCCGCCGGUCUGUUUUGCAACCUCUCCCCGCCUCUCCCGCGACAGCGUCGGUAUCAUCACGUCGUGUCAUCGCGCCGCUUUUUGUAAUGUAAAAUAGAUCUAUAUCUACUCGACGGCACCAUGUAACGACGGUACCAAUGCUCUCGCUAAAAGUUGCAGAAUAUGCGCCCUGCAUGUAAAAUUAGACGUACGCGUUCGACGCGGACGUACAUCUCUAGAUAACCCGUGCGUCAUGAACGACACGUCGAGCAGCUGAUCAGGUGAUAAACUCUGAAUUCGACGCUCGUAUCACAGUUAAAUGGCAAAUAGCAAAUGAUGCGAUCGAGAGCAAAUCACAUUAGAUGCGCGAUGCUGGAAAGGGUGAAUGAGAGCUCGCUGUACCGUAGCAGUGCCUGUAAUAGAUAAAAGAGAGAUUCAGUCUUCUAAAAUGUAUCUUGUAAUAUUUACACUGUAAUUGUAUGCAUUUAUAAAAAUCUAUGGAAAAACGUGCA